rnacentral:rRNA from 1 species
GACGAACGCUGGCGGCGUGCUUAACACAUGCAAGUCGAGCGGUAAGGCCCUUCGGGGUACACGAGUGGCGAACGGGUGAGUAACACGUGGGUGAUCUGCCCUGCACUUCGGGAUAAGCCUGGGAAACUGGGUCUAAUACCGGAUAGGACCACUGCCUGCAUGGGUGGUGGUGGAAAGCUUUUGCGGUGUGGGAUGGGCCCGCGGCCUAUCAGCUUGUUGGUGGGGUGAUGGCCUACCAAGGCGACGACGGGUAGCCGGCCUGAGAGGGUGACCGGCCACACUGGGGCUGAGAUACGGCCCAGACUCCGACGGGGGGCAGGAGUGGGGGAUUUUGGACAAGGGGCGCAAGCCUGAUGCCGCGACGCCGCGUGGGGGAUGGCGGCCUUCGGGUUGUAAACCUCUUUCAGCACCGACGAAGCGCAAGUGACGGUAGGUGCAGAAGAAGGACCGGCCAACUACGUGCCAGCAGCCGCCGUAA